UUGCUUUGGCACCAAAUACAGUAACAUUGGAACAAUGCAGAGAAGACUAGCAUGGCCCCUGUGCAAGGAUGACAUGCAAAUUUGUUAAGCAUUCCAUAUUGGA